rnacentral:tRNA from 1 species
GCCCGAAUGGCGGAAUUGGUAGACGCGCUAGCUUCAGGUGUUAGUAAUAAGUAUAUUGUGGAAGUUCAAAUCUUCUUUCGGGCA